rnacentral:piRNA from 1 species
UCCAACCCGUAGUGCCGCCCUUGGUC